CUUGACGAUCAUAGAGCGUUGGAACCACCUGAUCCCUUCCCGAACUCAGUAGUGAAACGACGCAUCGCCGAUGGUAGUGUGGGGU
rnacentral:rRNA from 1 species